rnacentral:rRNA from 1 species
GCUUAACACAUGCAAGUCGAGCGGGGAAAGGUAGCUUGCUACCUGACCUAGCGGCGGACGGGUGAGUAAUGCUUAGGAAUCUGCCUAUUAGUGGGGGACAACAUUCCGAAAGGAAUGCUAAUACCGCAUACGCCCUACGGGGGAAAGCAGGGGAUCUUCGGACCUUGCGCUAAUAGAUGAGCCUAAGUCAGAUUAGCUAGUUGGUGGGGUAAAGGCCUACCAAGGCGACGAUCUGUAGCGGGUCUGAGAGGAUGAUCCGCCACACUGGGACUGAGACACGGCCCAGACUCCUACGGGAGGCAGCAGUGGGGAAUAUUGGACAAUGGGCGAAAGCCUGAUCCAGCCAUGCCGCGUGUGUGAAGAAGGCCUUUUGGUUGUAAAGCACUUUAAGCGAGGAGGAGGCUACUUGGAUUAAUACUCUAGGAUAGUGGACGUUACUCGCAGAAUAAGCACCGGCUAACUCUGUGCCAGCAGCCGCGGUAAUACAGAGGGUGCGAGCGUUAAUCGGAUUUACUGGGCGUAAAGCGUGCGUAGGCGGCUUUUUAAGUCGGAUGUGAAAUCCCUGAGCUUAACUUAGGAAUUGCAUUCGAUACUGGGAAGCUAGAGUAUGGGAGAGGAUGGUAGAAUUCCAGGUGUAGCGGUGAAAUGCGUAGAGAUCUGGAGGAAUACCGAUGGCGAAGGCAGCCAUCUGGCCUAAUACUGACGCUGAGGUACGAAAGCAUGGGGAGCAAACAGGAUUAGAUACCCUGGUAGUCCAUGCCGUAAACGAUGUCUACUAGCCGUUGGGGCCUUUGAGGCUUUAGUGGCGCAGCUAACGCGAUAAGUAGACCGCCUGGGGAGUACGGUCGCAAGACUAAAACUCAAAUGAAUUGACGGGGGCCCGCACAAGCGGUGGAGCAUGUGGUUUAAUUCGAUGCAACGCGAAGAACCUUACCUGGUCUUGACAUAGUAAGAACUUUCCAGAGAUGGAUUGGUGCCUUCGGGAACUUACAUACAGGUGCUGCAUGGCUGUCGUCAGCUCGUGUCGUGAGA